rnacentral:rRNA from 1 species
UACGGGGGGGCAAGCGUUGUUCGGAAUUACUGGGCGUAAAGGGUUCGUAGGUGCCAACUAAGUCAGACGUGAAAUCCCUCAGCUUAACUGGGGAACUGCGUCUGAGACUGGAUGGCUUGAGUGCAGGAGAGGAACGCGGAAUUCCGAGGUGUAGCGGUGAAAUGCGUAGAUAUCGUGGAGGAACACCGGUGGCGAAGGCGGCGUUCUGGACUGCAACUGACACGUGAGGAACGAAAGCCAGGGAGCAAACGGG